rnacentral:rRNA from 1 species
ACUCCUACGGGAGGCAGCAGUGGGGAAUAUUGCACAAUGGGCGCAAGCCUGAUGCAGCCAUGCCGCGUGUAUGAAGAAGGCCUUCGGGUUGUAAAGUACUUUCAGCAGUGAGGAAGGUGGGUAUGUUAAUAGCAUACUCAUUUGACGUUAGCUGCAGAAGAAGCACCGGCUAACUCCGUGCCAGCAGCCGCGGUAAUACGGAGGGUGCGAGACGUUAAUCGGAAUUACGUGGGCGUAAAGCGCAUGCAGGUGGUUUGUUAAGUCAGAUGUGAAAGCCCGGGGCUCAACCUCGGAAUUGCAUUUGAAACUGGCAAACUAGAGUACUGUAGAGGGGGUAGAAUUUCAGGUGUAGCGGUAGAAUGCGUAGAGAUCUGAAGGAAUACCGGUGGCGAAGGCGGCCCCUGGACAGAUACUGACACUCAGAUGCGAAAGCGUGGGGAGCAAACAGGAUUAGACUACCCUGGUAGGCUCU